UUAAGCGACUAAGCGUACACGGUGGAUGCCCUGGCAGUCAGAGGCGAUGAAGGACGUGCUAAUCUGCGAUAAGCGUCGGUAAGGUGAUAUGAACCGUUAUAACCGGCGAUUUCCGAAUGGGGAAACCCAGUGUGAUUCGUCACACUAUCAUUAACUGAAUCCAUAGGUUAAUGAGGCGAACCGGGGGAACUGAAACAUCUAAGUACCCCGAGGAAAAGAAAUCAACCGAGAUUCCCCCAGUAGCGGCGAGCGAACGGGGAGCAGCCCAGAGCCUGAAUCAGUGUGUGUGUUAGUGGAAGCGUCUGGAAAGGCGUGCGAUACAGGGUGACAGCCCCGUACACAAAAAUGCACAUACUGUGAGCUCGAUGAGUAGGCGGGACACGUGGUAUCCUAUCUGAAUAUGGGGGACCAUCCUCCAAGGCUAAAUACUCCUGACUGACCGAUAGUGAACCAGUACCGUGAGGAAAGGCGAAAAGAACCCCGGCGAGGGGAGUGAAAAAGAACCUGAAACCGCGUACGUACAAGCAGUGGGAGCACGCUUAGGCGUGUGACUGCGUACCUUUUGUAUAAUGGGUCAGCGACUUAUAUUCUGUAGCAAGGUUAACCGAAUAGGGGAGCCGAAGGGAAACCGAGUCUUAACUGGGCGUUAAGUUGCAGGGUAUAGACCCGAAACCCGGUGAUCUAGCCAUGGGCAGGUUGAAGGUUGGGUAACACUAACUGGAGGACCGAACCGACUAAUGUUGAAAAAUUAGCGGAUGACUUGUGGCUGGGGGUGAAAGGCCAAUCAAACCGGGAGAUAGCUGGUUCUCCCCGAAAGCUAUUUAGGUAGCGCCUCGUGAAUUCAUCUCCGGGGGUAGAGCACUGUUUCGGCAAGGGGGUCAUCCCGACUUACCAACCCGAUGCAAACUGCGAAUACCGGAGAAUGUUAUCACGGGAGACACACGGCGGGUGCUAACGUCCGUCGUGAAGAGGGAAACAACCCAGACCGCCAGCUAAGGUCCCAAAGUCAUGGUUAAGUGGGAAACGAUGUGGGAAGGCCCAGACAGCCAGGAUGUUGGCUUAGAAGCAGCCAUCAUUUAAAGAAAGCGUAAUAGCUCACUGGUCGAGUCGGCCUGCGCGGAAGAUGUAACGGGGCUAAACCAUGCACCGAAGCUGCGGCAGCGACGCUUAUGCGUUGUUGGGUAGGGGAGCGUUCUGUAAGCCUGUGAAGGUGUGCUGUGAGGUAUGCUGGAGGUAUCAGAAGUGCGAAUGCUGACAUAAGUAACGAUAAAGCGGGUGAAAAGCCCGCUCGCCGGAAGACCAAGGGUUCCUGUCCAACGUUAAUCGGGGCAGGGUGAGUCGACCCCUAAGGCGAGGCCGAAAGGCGUAGUCGAUGGGAAACAGGUUAAUAUUCCUGUACUUGGUGUUACUGCGAAGGGGGGACGGAGAAGGCUAUGUUGGCCGGGCGACGGUUGUCCCGGUUUAAGCGUGUAGGCUGGUUUUCCAGGCAAAUCCGGAAAAUCAAGGCCGAGGCGUGAUGACGAGGCACUACGGUGCUGAAGCAACAAAUGCCCUGCUUCCAGGAAAAGCCUCUAAGCAUCAGGUAACAUCAAAUCGUACCCCAAACCGACACAGGUGGUCAGGUAGAGAAUACCAAGGCGCUUGAGAGAACUCGGGUGAAGGAACUAGGCAAAAUGGUGCCGUAACUUCGGGAGAAGGCACGCUGAUACGUAGGUGAAGCGACUUGCUCGUGGAGCUGAAAUCAGUCGAAGAUACCAGCUGGCUGCAACUGUUUAUUAAAAACACAGCACUGUGCAAACACGAAAGUGGACGUAUACGGUGUGACGCCUGCCCGGUGCCGGAAGGUUAAUUGAUGGGGUUAGCGCAAGCGAAGCUCUUGAUCGAAGCCCCGGUAAACGGCGGCCGUAACUAUAACGGUCCUAAGGUAGCGAAAUUCCUUGUCGGGUAAGUUCCGACCUGCACGAAUGGCGUAAUGAUGGCCAGGCUGUCUCCACCCGAGACUCAGUGAAAUUGAACUCGCUGUGAAGAUGCAGUGUACCCGCGGCAAGACGGAAAGACCCCGUGAACCUUUACUAUAGCUUGACACUGAACAUUGAGCCUUGAUGUGUAGGAUAGGUGGGAGGCUUUGAAGUGUGGACGCCAGUCUGCAUGGAGCCGACCUUGAAAUACCACCCUUUAAUGUUUGAUGUUCUAACGUGGACCCGUGAUCCGGGUUGCGGACAGUGUCUGGUGGGUAGUUUGACUGGGGCGGUCUCCUCCUAAAGAGUAACGGAGGAGCACGAAGGUUGGCUAAUCCUGGUCGGACAUCAGGAGGUUAGUGCAAUGGCAUAAGCCAGCUUGACUGCGAGCGUGACGGCGCGAGCAGGUGCGAAAGCAGGUCAUAGUGAUCCGGUGGUUCUGAAUGGAAGGGCCAUCGCUCAACGGAUAAAAGGUACUCCGGGGAUAACAGGCUGAUACCGCCCAAGAGUUCAUAUCGACGGCGGUGUUUGGCACCUCGAUGUCGGCUCAUCACAUCCUGGGGCUGAAGUAGGUCCCAAGGGUAUGGCUGUUCGCCAUUUAAAGUGGUACGCGAGCUGGGUUUAGAACGUCGUGAGACAGUUCGGUCCCUAUCUGCCGUGGGCGCUGGAGAACUGAGGGGGGCUGCUCCUAGUACGAGAGGACCGGAGUGGACGCAUCACUGGUGUUCGGGUUGUCAUGCCAAUGGCACUGCCCGGUAGCUAAAUGCGGAAGAGAUAAGUGCUGAAAGCAUCUAAGCACGAAACUUGCCCCGAGAUGAGUUCUCCCUGACCCUUUAAGGGUCCUGAAGGAACGUUGAAGACGACGACGUUGAUAGGCCGGGUGUGUAAGCGCAGCGAUGCGUUGAGCUAACCGGUACUAAUGAACCGUGAGGCUUAACCUU
rnacentral:rRNA from 1 species